CGCUGGCACCGCUUUAGCGUCCGGGGGCCGCUUAUAUCUUUUCUCUGAGACACGCCUCCUGGGCUCUCCGGCCCAGGCCAGCGCGGUUAUAAGUCAGAAGGGUCUGCUGAAAUGUGAUGAGGAAAACUAGAAGAAAAGUCCAGGCCCUGAGAGUGAAUACCAGACAGAAGCUGGGGGUGGAAGAGUAUCAAUAUGCAAUAUGCAGACUGAUUUGCCGAGGAGGAUUCAGAUAGGAGAUUCAGACUCCCAGAACAACUAAAAGGAUAACAGGCACUGUCAAAGAUCUAGACAGAAGGGCCAGAAAAGCAGCAGUUGGAACACACAGAGGGACUGUUGCUGGACCCUGGGUACCUGGCUGAAGACUUUGGACUUUAACCUGGAGAUGAUGGAGAGUAUGCAGGAUAAAGUCCAUACCAAAUCCAACGCCUAGCAAAUGGAGAACAAGCCAAAACUAACAAGAUAAAAUGUAGCAGGAAAAAGUGCAAAGAGCUGAAGUGUGGAAUAAGUGGGAGAGGUCUGCCAUGCCCUAUCUGACCUUGCUGCCAUGAUCUUUAAGGCUGUGUGUCCUGGUUGGUGCAGCUACAAGAUGGCAGAAAUGCCUAAGUGAUGGUAUGGAACAGAGGAUCCCUCUUCUCACCAUUGUCUUGCAUGUUUCCUUGUGUGAACCACAAAUAAACUUUUGUUAUGUUAAGCUGC
rnacentral:lncRNA from 1 species